rnacentral:rRNA from 1 species
AACGAACGCUGGCGGCAUGCCUAACACAUGCAAGUCGAACGAGACCUUCGGGUCUAGUGGCGCACGGGUGCGUAACGCGUGGGAACCUGCCCUUAGGUUCGGAAUAACUCCCCGAAAGGGGUUCUAAUACCGGAUAAUGUCUUCGGACCAAAGAUUUAUCGCCUUUGGAUGGGCCCGCGUUGGAUUAGCUAGUUGGUAGGGUAAAAGCCUACCAAGGCGACGAUCCAUAGCUGGUCUGAGAGGAUGAUCAGCCACACUGGGACUGAGACACGGCCCAGACUCCUACGGGAGGCAGCAGUGGGGAAUAUUGGACAAUGGGCGAAAGCCUGAUCCAGAAAUGCCGCGUGAGUGAUGAAGGCCUUAGGGUUGUAAAGCUCUUUUACCCGGGAUGAUAAUGACAGUACCGGGAGAAUAAGCUCCGGCUAACUCCGUG